AAGGUGACACCGUGCUUCUUUGCAUAGCCAUAAAGUGAAAUGAAAACUAUGGAAUGUAAAGAAGUAUGUAGUCCCUGA
rnacentral:pre_miRNA from 1 species